AGGUACAGAGGGAUGCUACCGGGCGACCGGAUGCGGAUCUCGAAAGCCUGUCCCAGUUCGGACUGGAGUCUGCAACCCGACUCCACGAAGUUGGAUUCGCUAGUAAUCGCGCAUCAGCCAUGGCGCGGUGAAUACGUUCCCGGGCCUUGUACACACCGCCCGUCAAGCCAUGGGAGCCGGGGGGUGCCUGAAGUGCGCUGCCGCAAGGAGCGCCCUAGGGUAAAACCGGUGACUGGGGCUAAGUCGUAACAAGGUAUC
rnacentral:rRNA from 1 species